rnacentral:rRNA from 1 species
GAGCUGUAACGCUAUC